rnacentral:rRNA from 1 species
CUUUGCCUACGGGGCGCAGCAGUGGGGAAUAUUGCACAAUGGGGGAAACCCUGAUGCAGCGACGCCGCGUGAGUGAAGAAGUAUCUCGGUACGUAAAGCUCUAUCAGCAGGAAAGAAAAUGACGGUACCUGACUAAGAAGCCCCGGCUAACUACGUGCCAGCAGCCGCGGUAAUACGUAGGGGGCAAGCGUUAUCCGGAUUUACUGGGUGUAAAGGGAGCGUAGACGGAGGAGCAAGUCUGAUGUGAAAAUCCGGGGCCCAACCCCGGAACUGCAUUGGAAACUGUUUAUCUAGAGUGUCGGAGG